GUCUACGGCCGUGCCACCCCGAGCACGCCGGAUCCCGUCUGAUCUCAGAAGCUCAGCAGGGUCGGGCCUGGUCAGGACUUGGAUGGGAGACCACCGAGGAAGACCAGGUGCUGUAGGUG
ensembl:rRNA 5S_rRNA 5S ribosomal RNA